rnacentral:lncRNA from 1 species
UGUCGAAGCAGUUUAAUCAUUCCUGGGUUUUCAAAGUUAUCAGGAUAUCGCAUAUGCUGAUGAGUUGGUGAAUUUUAGGGAGCAUGGUUAUGCAGCUGUAGACAUUUUAUGGGGAGUAGUUAGCAUGGAAUGUUUGGCCACUUCAACUGAAUAUGUUUCUUAUAUCUAUUAGGCCUAGCUCAAAAUAGUACGUCUAUGAAUUUGUAUAAAAGAGAAUAAGUGUAUGUAUGUUUUUUUUACUUCACCUUGUCCUUGUGGGGAUCAAAUUCAAAACUUUUUAACCAUCUGUAAGAGGCUAUAAAACGGUUAAAUAUUCAGUUUUUAUUCCUCUCCGAAAAUUAUUUUUUUCUAGGAGUAGUACUCCAUAAUCUUCAAUAGUAGUGCUUGAGCAAGUUCCAUUCUUGAUAAAUUCUGUUGGAUUUGUGGAUGGCCAAGUGUUUGGUUGUUGAAACAUGGACAUGGAAAGGGAUUUUAUUUUUCUCAUGCCUCCAUGUGCGUUACCAGUGACUUCAGACUGAGGGCUAUCUUUAAGGGCUCUGACAAGAUAUAUAGGAAUCUUGUUGCUCUUUAACAUAUUCGCUUUUUUUCCCCCCUUCUUGUAGCAGUAAUCCCAAUGUGUGCAACUUUUACUACUUGUUAGCCAUGGUUAACAACGAAAUGCCAUGUAUUUUCAUAAAGAAAUAUAUACAUUGUAGUCUCACAUUAUAUAUACUUUGUAGCCUUGUUUAUAUUUAAGUAAAUGAGAUCUCUCUCUGAUGCAUAAAAGGAAAAAAGAACAAAAUUAUAAUUCUAGACAAUUCCCUCUGUUUUGGUAAGCAAUAGUUAUGUGCUUUCAAGUUGAAUUGAAG